UACAGAGGUCUCAAGCGUUGUUCGGAUUCAUUGGGCGUAAAGGGUGCGUAGGUGGCGCUGUAAGUCGGGUGUGAAAUUUCGGAGCUUAACUCCGAAACUGCAUUCGAUACUGCGGUGCUUGAGGACUGGAGAGGAGACUGGAAUUCAUGGUGUAGCAGUGAAAUGCGUAGAGAUCAGGAGGAAUACCGAUGGCGAAGGCAGGUCCCUGGGCUGACACUGAUGCUCAUGCACGAAAGCGUGGGGAGCAAACAGG
rnacentral:rRNA from 1 species